GACGAACCGUGCGAACGUUGUUCGGAUUCACUGGGCAUAAAGGGUGCGUAGGCGGCUUGUUAAGUCAGGGGUGAAAGUUUUCGGCCCAACCGGAAAAUUGCCUUUGAUACUGGCGAGCUCGAGUGCGUGAGGGGUAACCGGAACGAGCAGUGUAGCGGUGAAAUGCGUAGAUAUUGCUCGGAAGGCCAACGGCGAAGGCAGGUUACUGGUACGCAACUGACGCUGAGGCACGAAAGCGUGGGGAGCAAACAGG
rnacentral:rRNA from 1 species